UUAUAUAGAAAUAUAAGUUUAUGAUUUUUUUUUGUUGAAUGUUUUUGUACUGUAUUUUUAGAUAAGGUCAGGCCUUGUCAGGGGCUGCCCAGGGAGGUUUGGAGUCCCCAUCCCUGGGGGUGUCCCAGGAAUUCCUGGAAGUGGCAUUCAGAGCUCUGGGCUGGGGACAAGGAUAUGGAAAUCCAGGAUCUUCUCCAGCCUCAGCACAGCAUCCCCUCCCUCGUUUGUGGAACCAAAACAACUUUUGGAGAGGCUUUUAUUAUAAAUACAAACAAGGAAAUGUUGUUGUUUUUUUUUUUUUCCCUCAGCCUCCACGUUUCACCUCAGAUUUUCUCCCUCAAAGCAUUAUAAAAAUAACAAGGGGCCAGAAGCCUUUCAACGAGUUUCAUGUUGAAAAACAACAAAAUACCAUAAAAUACCAAGCCCCGAGUGGUUUUGCAAAGCACAUGAGAAGAUUUCAGUGACCUAUGUGCAUGUUUUGAAUCUAAGCGUGAGCAAGAAACACAGAACUGUUCUCCAACAGAACAAAACUUCAGCCUUGAGGGUUUAUUUAUUUUAAAAAUGUGACAUUAAAGCAAUUCCUUCCACCAAUUAUGCUGGAUACAGUCACAGAGCCCUGUGUGGCAGAUCAUAAUAAUUCCCUGGUCUCUUACAAAUAAAAAUUCCUAAUCCCCUGCUCAGCUC